CCACCCCCCGGAAGCAUUGAAUGAUGGCUGCUGUGUCGCAUGUCCGUCAGGAGGUGACAGAGAGGAGAGGGGCUAUGUCUUUGCUCAGUGUUCUGACCUGUGAACAUUUGAAUGAUUAGGGGGAGCCUAUCAUU